GAAGGGGAGGGAGAAACACCCUUGGUACUUGGUUACUUCUUAUGCUUUACUAUGUCAUUUAUUGUCUAAGAUUUUUAUUCUUGAAUUAUGGAAGUGCAUAUGGUAUUGCUCACGAAAUCUUCUCAUUGGGCUAGACUGACUGGUCAUUUUAAUAUUUAGUAUACUCUCUUUUGAUAAGUGAUUGCCAUCUUUGAAAUGUAGACUUCAGAUAAAAUGGCUAGUUUGUGAAUGAUCACCAGGCUUGUCAUUUUCUCUUAUUUCAUUUUCUUAUCUACCCAUUUUAUUUUAAUGUCCACUAACGAAUGCAUGUGUGGAGUUGUAGAUGUUGGACGUUUGGUUACUUAUUUAAGAGAAAAGUCUGAUUGGGUCUCUUUAUAUUAUUUUAAUUGUUCUAUGAGGUUUCUUUUGGUUAUAUGAGAAUUUUUGGAAAAAAGGAAGUGAUAUUUGAAUUUGAU
rnacentral:misc_RNA from 1 species